rnacentral:rRNA from 1 species
CAAUAGCGUAUAUUAAAGUUGUUGCAGUUAAAAAGCUCGUAGUUGGAUUUCUGGGUCAAGCUCCUGGUCCGCCGCAAUGCGGUGCCGACUGUGUGUAGCGUUGAUUCAUCCUUGUGGGAAUUCCAGUUUGGGCUUCGUUGUCCGGCUGGCGGAACCGCAUCUUUUACUGUGAAAAAAUUAGAGUGUUCAAAGCAGGCUUACGCUGUGAAUACAUUAGCAUGGAAUAAUACGAUAGGACUUUGGUUCUAUUUUGUUGGUUGGAGACCAAGGUAAUGAUUAAUAGGGAUAGUUGGGGGUAUUCAUAUUUAAUUGUCAGAGGUGAAAUUCUUGGAUUUAUGAAAGAUGAACUUAUGCGAAAGCAUUUACCAAGGAUGUUUUCAUUAA